UGCAGUCGAGCGGCAGCGCGGGGGCAACCCUGGCGGCGAGCGGCGAACGGGUGAGUAAUACAUCGGAACGUGCCCAGUAAUGGGGGAUAACACAGCGAAAGUUGUGCUAAUACCGCAUACGCCCUGAGGGGGAAAGCGGGGGAUCGCAAGACCUCGCGUUAUUGGAGCGGCCGAUGUCGGAUUAGCUAGUUGGUGAGGUAAAGGCUCACCAAGGCGACGAUCCGUAGCGGGUCUGAGAGGACGGCCCGCCACACUGGGACUGAGACACGGCCCAGACUCCUACGGGAGGCAGCAGUGGGGAAUUUUGGACAAUGGGGGCAACCCUGAUCCAGCCAUUCCGCGUGAGUGAAGAAGGCCUUCGGGUUGUAAAGCUCUUUCGGCAGGAACGAAACGGUCGUCGCUAAUACCGAUGGCUAAUGACGGUAUCUGAAGAAGAAGCACCGGCUAACUACGUGCCAGCAC
rnacentral:rRNA from 1 species